CCAGGCAUCUUCUUCAGUAAAGGUUAUAGAUCCUUCAGUUCUUUGCUGCUUGAGCGGUCCAGCCGAUCCACUGGCCGCUCCCCUCUGGGACCCUUCAGAGAUGGUGUUGAUGAUUUCGAUCGGAGGCCAAUCCCCAAGCUAUUCUUCUCUCCUUCGCGACUUCGAUUGCGGUGGGGCCAUUGGCCGAUCUUCUCUACUCCCAGGUUGGCAUUGAAUGAAUCCAUCGACUACUGUUGCCGGAGGAGGAGGAGCCCGGGAAGCUAGAGGUG
rnacentral:lncRNA from 1 species